ACCUACGGGGGGCAGCAGUGGGGGAUAUUGCACAAUGGGGGGAACCCUGAUGCAGCGACGCCGCGUGGGUGAAGAAGUAUUUCGGGAUGUAAAGCCCUAUCGGCAGGGAAGAAAUUGGACGGGACCUGACUAAGAAGCCCUGGCUAACUACGUGCCAGCAGCCGCGGUAAUACGUAGGGGGCAAGCGCUAUCCGGAUUCACUGGGUGUAAAGGGAGCGCAGACGGCCAUGCAAUCCUGGAGUGGAAGGCCGGGGCCCAACCCCCGGGCUGCUCCG
rnacentral:rRNA from 1 species